UUCUGCAGCCUAAUAGACAAUCUGUGGCGUCUCAUUUUCAGCCGAGAGAGUAUGAUGAUGCUUCACCCAUACUCUUCGCAGAAGUAAAUGAGCAUCAUGUAGAAGUAAGACCACAACUAAUUAGUGUCUUACCCGUCUUUAGAGGCCAUAAAACUAAUGAUCCAUACAAUCACCUCUAUGAGUUCCUUGCAAUUGCUAACGCGAAUACUCCGCGAGGAACUAAUAGAGAUUCAUUUAGACUUCUCUUAUUUCCGUUCACUUUAAAAGAAAAAGCUAAGUAUUGGUUCACUUCUCUUGCCCCCAUAGUAUCACUACUUGGGAGCAAUUAAAAACUAAAUUUUUGCAAGAGUUUUACCCAGCUAGUAAAACAACGGAAAUAAGAAAAGCCAUAGAAGAUUUUGCACAAAAACCCAAAGAAGAAUUUCAUGAUGCAUUUGAACGCCUCAAGGAAUUGUUCCGUUCAUGUCCCUAUCAUGAAUUUCCCCGUUGGCAACUGGUAGGUUUCUUUUAUGAUGGAGUCGAUACUGCCAAUCAAAGCAUGAUUAAUGCCUCGUCCGGCGGCAUUAUUAUGAUACAAGAUAGUGAAGACGCUUGGCGAUUCUUAGAGUAGUUGAGUCAUGGUUCAAAAACCAAUUACUCAGCUAAGAAACGGGACAAUCCAGUUUCAUCUGUUGCUUCAGUUGGACUAGACAAAAAACUGGAAAAAUGAAGUCAAAUCUGAUAUUAAUUCUUUAAAUAAAAUUUUUGACUUACUACUCUCUAGUCUAGGCAAAAAGAAAGGUGUGUUUUUUCGCAGGGACAGAAGAUAUGUGUAAGCUGUGGAGAUUCAUGACACAUUGCAGAUGAGUGCAUGAGAAUUCAAGAGGAAAUCAAUCAAGUGCAUGGUUAUGGUCAAUUCCAAAAUAAUCCACGAUCAUUCAAUCGGAACUACAUCCAAGGCGGGAACUACAACAACAUUGGGAUUUUCAACAACAACAACCGUCAAGGGAAUUACCAAAACCAAAAUCAGCCAAAACAGUUCCAGCAGUCCAACUUUAACCAAGGUGGAACAUCAAAGAAGGAGGAAAAUGAUGGCAACAAGUUGGACAAAAUCAUGGAGUUCAUAACCUAAACAUAUCAGAAAACCGACACUAACUCCAAGUCUAUAGCUGCUAUUGAGAAGCAAAUUGCUCAACUGGCGGAGCAAAUUGGGAAAAGAGAAGAUGGCAAGUUUCCAAGCACCACAACAGUGAACCCAUCUCAUACCCAGAGACCCCGAAAAGAGCAUCAAGUGAACGAGGUAAUUACCUUGUGUAGUGGAAAAAAGGUUGACAACAAGGUAAGUGCUUCUACAUUAGAUAAUGACAGUGACACUGAAGUCAUCUUUGAUGAAAAAGAAGAGUUUGAGAAAGAUUUUAAAUCCGAAAAACAAAAAGAAGAUAAGGUUAAAAAUGACUCUAAAGUUGGGGAGCAUGGUGUGGAGGUUAAUACCGCACCAUACCCUUCGGCUUUAGAGAAGCCGGCAUCCUUCCCUUUUGGGAAGCGAGGGCUAAAAAUGGAAGACAUGUGAGAUCUAUUUAGUCAAGUUAAAAUAAAUAUCCCAUUAGUCAAACUUAUUAAGGAGGUACCUUCUUAUGCUAAAUUUUUGAAGGAUUUGUGUGUUCAAAAACGCAAACUCCAAGCAUACCUCCCUAAAAAGAUUGAUUUAGUCAAGCAUGCGAGUUCGAUAAUAUCAAAUAAACUUCCACCCAAGCUUAAGGAUCAUGGAGCACCUUUAAUUUUUGUUACGCUAGGUAACAUUAAUAUAAAAAAGGCGCUCCUUGAUCUUGGAGCUAGUGUUAAUAUAAUCCCGGGAAAUUUUUUUGAUCAACAUGACUUAGGCACUUUGGAACAAACUGAUAUUAUUUUACGAUUGGCCGAUAAGUCAACAAAAAUUCCUUGGGGAAUAUUAUCAGAUGUUAUUAUUAAGGUGGGAGAUUUCUAUUACCCAGUUGAUUUUCUUAUGCUUGACACCGUGAGCACUUAUAAAGAAAGUCAACCUUCUAUUAUUUUAGGUCGUCCGUUAUUGACAGCAAUAAAUGCACAAAUUAAUUGUAGAACGGGUGCAAUGGAUAUCUCUUUUGGAAAUAGGAAACUUAGAAUUGAUAUUUUUAAUACGUUUCCUAACUCACCAUCAGAUUAUGAAUGUUAUCAUGUGGAUGUGGUUGAUGACUUAGUGCAUCAAUUCACUCUUAAAAUCUUACACCCUGAUCCAUUGGAGUUUUUUCUUUCUAAUGACAGGGACGAAGUUUUAGAGUUGGAUGACAUCAAGAUGGUUGAGGAGGCAUUUGAAAAUGUUAUUGAGCAAGAGAGGCCACCAUGGAGUUAUCAAGUUGAAAAAUUGCCAACAAGUUUUUCGGACCCACUUAAGCCAUCUUUGGAGGAGCCACCCAGUCUUGAACUCAAAACUCUUCCUUCACAUCAUAGAUACUCUUUUUUAGGAUCUAAGGAGAACUUACCAAUUACCAUAUCUUUUGAUUUGACAUGUCCACAGGAGGAAGCAUUACUGAAGGUGCUUUCGAAGUACAAGGGAGCAAUUGGAUGGACCAUAGCAGACUUGAAGGGAAUUAUUCCAGCCACAUGUAUGCAUUGAAUCAUCACUGAAGCUAGAGAAAAGCCAUCCCGAGAUGCACAACGAAGGCUCAACCCGAAUCUGCGAGAAGUUGUUAAAAAGGAGGUGUUGAAAUGGCUUGAUGCGGGUAUUAUCUACCCAAUAUUUGAUAGUGAUUGGGUGAGCCCGACACAGACAGUGCCAAAGAAGUCGGGCGUUACAGUGGUAGAUACAGAAGAUGGAGAGAAGAUCUCAACAAGAUCGGUCACCAGAUGGAGAGUUUGCAUCGACUAUCGCAAACUCAAUGCUGCAACAUCAAAUGACCAUUUCCCUCUCCCUUUUAUUGAUCAAAUAAUUGAGAAAUUGUAUGGUAAAAAGUUUUAUUGUUUUUUGGAUGGAUACUCGGGGUAUAAUCAAAUUGCCAUCCACCCCGAGUAUCAAUCCAAAAUGACAUUCACGUGUCCAUAUGGCACCUUUGCUUUCCGAAGGAUGCCAUUCGGCUUGUGUAAUGCCCCUGCCACAUUUUAAAGAUGUAUGAUGGCUAUUUUUUUAGACGUGGUGGGGGAUGCAUUAGAAAUUUUCAUGGAUGAUUUUUCUAUUUUUGGAUCAUCUUUUGAGACAUGCUUAGACCAAUUAGAAAAAGUUUUGAAACGUUGUAUUGACUCUAAUUUGGUUUUAAGUUGGGAGAAGAGUCAUUUCAUGAUAAAAUAGGGAAUUGUACUUGGCCAUGUUGUCUCCGAGCAUGGCUUUGAAGUCGACCGGGCCAUAGUACAAAUUAUUUCUACUCUUCUCCCACCAACUUCAGUAAAAGGCGCCCGUUCUUUUCUUGUACAUGCCGGCUUUUAUCGAAGAUUUAUCAAGGAUUUUAGUGCAAUGUCAAAACCUCUUUGUAAUUUACUUUUAAAAGAUGCACCAUUUUCCUUUGAUAAAGCAUGUCUUGAAUCUUUUACCACAUUAAAGAACAAACUUGUUGAAGCUCCUAUCUUGCAAUCACCCGAUUGGACUUUACAUUUUGAAAUUAUGUGUGAUCCAAGUGAUUACGCGGUAGGGGCAAUUUUGGGACAACGGGUGAAUAAAAAACCCAUUGCAAUUUGUUAUGCGAGCAAAAAAAUUUCGGAUGCACAAUUGAAUUACACUACUACCGAAAAAGAGUUGCUUGCGGUCGUGUUUGCACUUGAAAAUUUUAGAUCUUACAUAUGGGGAUCUAAAGUUGUAAUUUUUACCGACCAUAGUGCCAUUCACCACCUCUUGGAAAAGAAGGAUGCCAAACCACGUCUCAUAAGAUGGAUCCUUCUUCUUCAAGAGUUUAAUCUUGAAAUUCAGGACAAAAAGGGUUCUGAAAAUGUUGUGGUGGAUCAUUUAUAUAGAAUAACUAAUAAUGAUAACUCAACGAAAGUUAUUCAAGAAAACUUUCCAGAUGAGCAUAGUCUUGUUGUCAAAACUAUACCAUGGUUUGCUAAUUUAAUUAAUUACUUUGCGACAGGGGAAACUCCAUUGUAUUGGAAUGCUCAACAAAUGAGGUUCUUCCACUCUCAAACAAAAUACUACAUAUGGGAGGACCCAUAUAUUUUCAAAAUUGGAGCAGAUCAAGUGAAUAGGAGAUGUGUACCACAUACAGAGCAAGAAGACAUUCUUCGACACUGCCAUUCAUAUACAUGUGGAGGGCAUUUUAGUGCCAAAAGGCAGGGCAUCGGGUUCUACAAAGCGGUUUUUUCUGGCCCUCUAUUUUUAAAGAUGCACAUACAUUCGUUAAAGCUUGUAUUCGUUGCCAACAAGUUGGGGGGAUCUCAAGACGGGACAUGAUGCCAAUGACCCCAAUUUUAGUAGUUGAAAUCUUUGAUGUAUGGGGCAUUGAUUUCAUGGGUCUGUUCCCCACUUCUUUUGGCAAUCUAUACAUUCUUGUAGCCGUUGAUUAUGUAUCAAAAUGGCUCGAAACCGAGGAUACACACACGAAUGACCAUAGUGUUGUUUGUAAAUUUGUUAAAAAGAACAUAUUUUCUACACACGGAAUCCCUCGAACUAUUAUUAGUGAUGGGGGCUCCCAUUUUAAAAAUUGGCAUUUUGCAAAGUUACUUAAACACUAUAGUGUCACACAUAUGAUAGCUACUCCAUAUCACCCACAAACAAAUGGACAAGUAGAAGUGUCAAAUAGGGAAAUAAAACGAAUCUUGGAGAAGACUGUUCAUCCCGACCGAAAAGAUUGGUCAUUAAGAUUAGAUGAUGUGUUAUGGGCAUAUCGAACAACCUAUACGACGCCCAUUGGAAUGUCUCCGUAUCGGCUUGUUUAUGGAAAGCCAUGCCAUCUCCCGGUGGAGUUAGAACACCGUGCCAUGUGGGCCAUAAAAAAUGCUAACUUUGAAUUGAGUGAUGCAGGUAUAGAAAGGAAACUCCAAAUUGUUGAAUUGGAAGAGAUUCGAAAAGAAGCUUACGAAAGCUCAAGGAUCUAUAAAGAAAAGACGAAGGCAUUUCAUGACCGACAUAUUGUCCGAAAACAAUUCGUUAAAGAACAAUUGGUGUGGCUAUUCAACUCUCGUCUCAAACUCUUCCUCAGAAAGCUUCGGAGUAAAUGGAAUGGACCUUUUGUGGUGAAAAAUGUGGCGGAUCAUGGAUCUAUUGAAAUCAAGGACACGAAAGGCAGUGAACCAUUCAAGGUAAAUGGACAAAGACUCAAACCUUAUAUUCGAAUGGUAAAUGGUGAAACAACAUUCGUUGAGAAAACAACGCUCAAGGCAACACAAUAUUUAGAAACAACUUAGUCGAGGUAAACCGUCCGGCUGAAGACAUAAAACUUACCGCUUUUCGGGAGGCAACCCGUGGUUUGGUGUGUUUUUACUUCUAUUCUUCUUUUGGUGUGUUUUAAUUCUUUUCGUAUCGAGGACAAUCCAAGGUUUAAAGUUGGGGAGGGGGUAUUUAAUUUUUGUUUAAAAUUAAAUAAUAUUCGAAAAAUACUCAAAAAACAGCAAAAAAAAAUAGCCUCAGGCAUCCUAGGGGUGUCUUAGACGUUGUCUAAGACGCCGUCGGGCUGUCACUUCUUUUCCCCCCGAUGAAAACCCUUCGCGAAAAUUAAAAAAAUACCCUUAAUGUGUAUGACGUCCUAGGACGCGUCUAAGACGCCGGCUAGGACGUCGACGUGUUUUUCAACCGUUUUAUGCCGUUUUCUGCAUUAUUGUUGGUAUCUUUCUUCUCCAAACUGCCAUAGCCGAAAACCCACUUGUUCUUGCUUAUUUCCUUUGAUUUCUUGGCCAAAACUCAACCAAAAUUCGUGGUUUUUGUUGCAAUCUUCAAGAAAUCAAGUAAGAAACAUCACAUUGCAAGAUUUACACACUCUAAUCACUUAUUUGGGGCCGAUUUCAAAACCCACAAAAACUAGGGUUUCGAAAUUUUGACUUAUUUUGAGAUUUUACUUCAAGUUCUUGGUUCUUCUUCACUAGAAACACAAUUUCAACAAGGUAUAUGCUUCAAAACUCCAUCUUUUAGUUGAAUUUCAGAAUUUUUGCAUGUAUGUUCAUAUAUGUUUGAAAUUUUGAAAAAGAUGAAGAAUAUGAUAUAUAUUGGUAUGAAUUCUUGUGAAUUAGUGUUUGUAGUUGUUAGAAGUAUGUUCCAAACAAGUUGCAUGUGUUGAUUCGAGAAAUUUCUAAAAAUUGAAUUUUUGUUGUUAGUUGUUAAAAAAUAAUAAUAAUAAAUAAAAGCACAUAUAAUGUUGGAAAAUCAUUCUUAUGUUUAUAUUUGUGUUUGAAUUAAAAAUUCAAGUUUUUAGAAAAUUUCAGAAUGACACUGAAUUUUGACAUUGCAUUGUUAGUCUGAAUAUUUGCCUGUUACAGUUCUGUUCUGGUUUUAGUUAGAACUUGUCAGUUGAAGUUAACUUUUGGUUUAACUGUGUUUUUACUGAUUGGAUAAAUUUUUGAAAAAUAUUUAGUUACUAAAAACAUAACAGGACUUAAAACGGUUAUUUAUUUAGACUGGAUUUAUUUUAACUUUGUUUGGAACAACUUGCCAACUGAAUUAUUUGUUUUAUUUUUGUGACAUUUGAUAUGUUUAAUGGCAAGUUUUGUUUUGUGGUUUUGUGUAUGAAUUAUUUUGCAGAUGCCAGCAAAGAGAUCAAGGGUAGCAUCAUCAAGCAGUGCAUCUAGACAACCAGCUAGACAGUCGGAGCCAAAUGUACAUGUGGCUUUCAACCCACAGUAUCAGACAUUGCAUGAGCAUCUAGAUGACAUUCGUCCAACAGUUUAUGAGGCAACUCAUCCGAAUAUGGGUUUUAUUGUAGAGUACAUGGUGGAGCGACCGAGCUUCACUAGGUAUAAUAUUGUGGAGACGUUUGAUCGCUAUGGAUGGGGUGGAGUGCUAGACUUCAAUCCCACGCAGAUUUAUGUUGAUAUAGUGCAGGAAUGGAUGAGGAAACUUCGACGUGUCGAGGUGCCUGGUAGGCCGGAGGAGUUGCCGCUGAUUGGGACGGUCCGUACUCAUGAUAUAGUGAUAACUGUGCAGGGUAUUCGGGACAUGUUUCAUGUAGAUACUGGCUGUCAUUUUCAUUAUCUUGAGAAUCAUCUGACUGAGUAUAGAUGUAUUGACACGAGGGGGUAACCCUGGGGUUAGUAUGACUGAAGUAUACCGUAUAGUGUUCCAUGAGGGGACGAGGGCAUACGACAGAUUCCGCGAAUUGGUGCCUUUAGCAAAGGCAUUACAUAACAUUAUCACGAAAAAUGUGAACCCAAGGAAUAGUGAUCCUAGGGCGGUGAGGCCACAUGACUUAUAUGUAUUAUAUGGAUUGAUGAUAGGAUCUAUCUUUAUCUCUUAUGCAUAUAAUGCUAUGUGCAACAUAUGGUCCUGUUUUGAUAUCCAGCACAGAGUCACUACCCCCCAUGUUGCCCUGAUAUCGACAUAUGUUGCCUUGCUACUUCUUUUAGACACAUCUCAUUUCAUGUUGAAAAUGGGAGACAUAUUCUGAGGGAUUCUACCACAAAUCCGACAUACACGGCACCACUCGGAGUGGGGGAUGAGGAGCCAUUCGUUGGUGAUUUUUAGGGGGAUCAGUAGCAGCAAUAGGCAUAAGCAGCAGGUCGGGGAUAGAACAUGCAGGCAGCUUGGGAGGACUUUGUGGGGAGGCAGAACAUGCAUAACCAGGAGGUGCAGGCUUGGAUGGGGAGAACGGAUAUAUGGUUGAAGGGUGUCGAUACGACACUAGCUGAUAUUACUGAGCAGAUGCGACAGAUUGGCAUUACAUCUAGCAACACUUAUAGUGUUGCCACUCGUCAGUUGUACCAACAGGAGUACUAUGCAGAUGCUGCCUACACAUAGAGUCGUGUCCAGUAUGAACCGAUGGACAUUGAUCAACCACAGUAUCGAUACCGAGCUCCAGCUCCGUUCUUCUACCGAUCCGGGAAUCUGAGCAACUAUCCACCGCCAUCCGAGCAUGAGCAUUAUCAGCCACCACCAGCUACAGAGGACUCUACUCGCUUUGAGGAUUUAGUUGGAUCGAUCUUUGGGUAUCCUCCACCAUACCCACGUUAUCCUCCACAGUCGCCCCCACAUUGAACUUUGGUGAGAUCCUCUUUUGAUUUUUAUUUUUAUGGUUGUUUGAUGAAGACUUUUUUUAUUUUUAUUUUUAUUUUUCGUUUGCUUUUCAUGUCUUUAUUUGGGAUGAAUGUACUAUUAUUAAACUCAUUAUUAUUAUUACUCUCUCUUGGGUUGGUUCCAUUAAAUAUGUGAUGAGUUAGUAGCAUCUCUAUAUCUUGAACGUAACUCAUCAAAAUGGAAAAUGAUAGGAGUUUCGUAAAUUGAGUCAUAAUAUUUAUUUAAUAUUGAUUUUGUGGAUUGCUCAACCGAUUUGGGAAUAUUUAUAUUUAGUUAAAAAAUUGUUAUGUGAAAUACCCAAGUGUUUGAAAAAUGACGGUUUUUAGCUCGAGCCUACGAUCUUUCAAUUGAGGACCCAACCGAACAAUAUGUGUCAUCACGCUCUGAGUACUUGGUCUUACUUACUCUUGCGCCUUUGGGGUUGGGAGGGGACUAUUAUUGUUUUCACACAAUAAAAAAGCAUCAAAAGACAUUGAAGAACUUCCAAGUAUCUAUAUUCAAGCUCAAGUCAAAUACCAAAAUGAUCAAAUCCGAUGAAGCCAUCAAAGAACUUGAAGAAUGCAAAAUCAAGAUAAAUAUGAAGAAAAGUUCAAGUUGAAGACAUUGUGUGAAAUAAUGUGUGACCCCUCGAUAGCGGGAGCGUAUGGGUUGGUCCAUUAAGUGUUACCGACCGCGCUAACUAUGUUAGUGAACCUUGAAAAAAGGGACUUUGGCAAUGAGUUCAACUGAUUACUCAUGAGGGUGAUUAUUGGAAAGGGUUCAAAAAGUGGAGGGUUUCAAACAACAAAGUAAAAUAAGCAUAACAUGUGUUUUGAGUUUAAAAGUCUGGAUAAGAAAAUAAUAAUCCCCAUAAUCAAUAUAUUGUGCUAUUGGAAAUGUUGUGAUAAAAAGUACAGAAUUCAUGAUUCCAUUGAGUUUUUCUUAGGAUAAGAGAGUAAAGACUACGCUGAUUAUUUCAGGCCAAUCUCGGGACGAGUUUGGAAUAAAGUUGGGGAGGUUUGAUAAGUCCAUUUUAUGAAUGUACUAAAUUGUUAUAAAUCUGUUGAAUUGAUGUAUAAUUGUCCAAGAAUGGCACUACUUUGAUGAGUUGUUGAACUUCAUAUACAGGUCAAUAUAUUGUACUAAAAGUGGGCGGAACCUGCAAGUAAAACAGUGCUAAAGGAAUGAAGAAACGUUGCUGGGAAAACUGACCAUGCUUCAAUGUUUUGGUCAUAACUGAAGUUCCGCAGCUCUAAUUGACAUGAGUAAAGAAGUUCUGGAAACUAGACAAGAUUUUCUACAACUUUUGUGUUUUGUGUUUCUGCUAGUUAUGUCGUUUUGACCACCAAAACUUAAACGAAAGAUGAAGGAUGCCUCCAGGCGUCUAAGACAUCCCCUAGGACGUCCACAUCAAACGGUCAGCAUCUGGCCGUUAUUUCAAAGCAGAAAAGAAGGAAGAACCCCCGUCAGCGUCUUACAUGGCGUCAAAGAUGUCCCCUAGGACAUCUUGGCAUUUUGGGGAUGUCCCGUGUUGGAACGGUGUGUUUCGGAAAGUUUAGAAAACAAGGCAGGACGUCCUAGAACGUGUCUAAGACGUCUCCUAAUACGUUUGACGUUUUUGGCCAUUUUUUAGUGUAUUUCAAGGACGACAGAUGGCAUGCAAGGACGUACAAAGAACGCCUGGGCGUUAUACACGACAUCUAAGAUGUCUGCUAGGACGUCCAACAUCCCACAUCCCCCAAUUUCAUUAUUUUUUAUCUCACACUAUAAAUACGAGCCUAUGAAUUCGUUUUUAGGGUUACCACCUCCGAUUUUCAGAGUUUUUCAUGUGUUUUUGAGGCUUCUAAAACACUUGGAAACAUUUGAAAACACAAAUCCAUUCCAUUAAAAUCCGGAUUCAAAGCAAGACUCAAUUCAAUUCAUCAUCAAGCUAUAAGUGAAGAUCAUUUCAUUGGUUAAUCUUCAUCAAUUCUUUAUUUUCCAGAAUUAUUUCUUCUUCCCCAAGGUUUAUUUUUUCUAUAAUUUGAUAAUCAUUAGGCUACAUUUGUUUGAUGAUUCUACAUUUGUUUAUGAAUUCUAUUAUGCAUUUUAUUCAUUUCAAUCAAGUUAUUUGUUUUAUGAACUCAAUGGAAGGCUAAAUCAUUAGGGUUACUUCUGGGGAUGUUUAGGACUUUUUGAUGAACAUAAUUGAUUAUUACUUGAUUUUAGUUAAUUCAAUUGUUGUUUUAUGCUUCAUGUGAUGAUCUUUUAGUAAUGAUAAUUGAAAUUGGGUUGUAUGAAUUGUUUGAUGUCAUAAUUAAGAUAGUCUAUUGUCAAUUCAUCAUUUGUUCCAAGUUCACUUAGUUUAGGAAUAAAGACAAGUGACUGAAUCAACAUAUAUUAUUCCAACUUAUGAUAUUGAAUCUUAAUGCGGUAAUAGGUAGUUGUAUGAUAUUUUAUAGCUAGUCCACUAAUUGUUCUUAAUCCAUUUAGGCAUAAAGGAGUAAGACAACUAGUUAAAUGAAAAUUUAGUGUGCCCAAACUAUGUAUUACAAGUUAAUAAACCCCAAUUGUAUCUAAGUAAUUGAAUUAGGAUUUAAGGGAAGAAAGUGUGUGAAUUUAAACUAUCCAUAACUGAACCGGAAGUACUCUAGUUUUCUCAUUGAAAUUUUCGUUUUAAUUAAUAAAUUUCCAAGCUUUUUGUUUGAUCUUUGCUUUAAUUUUUUUUCGUGACAAUUUCUAGUAGUUUGUUUUUUUUCGUUGACUAUUUUAACACAAAAUUUGACGACAAACUCCUUGCGGAUUCGACCCUUACUUACCCUAGCUAUCUAGUGGUUUUGAGAUUAUUCUUGACUGAUACAACGACAUUGAUCAUCGUGCCAAAACCCUAAAGAGACCGAUGUGCCUGGGGCCCAAUUUGCUCUUCUUCCUGAAUCGGAUGACACCUUUCCAAUGUGACAAGUUCAGGGGGACCAUAUCCCUAACCUGAAACUCUAAAUCUGAUUGGUGCUUGUCGGCAUAGCUCUUCUUCCGGCUCUAAGCUGUCUGGAGCCUACUCCAAACUGCUGAAUCAACUUGGUAGUCUUGAGUACCGCUUUGGUACUCCCCAUUAGUAGCUGACCGUCCUCACCCCAACAUAUCAUGGUACUGCAUUUCUUUCUAUAGAGCAUCUCAAAAGGAGGUCGAUUAAUGUUGGCGUGAUUACUAUUGUUAUACAAAAACUAUUGGAUUAGGUGUCUAAGACCAUAACUAUUUUGGUAUGUACUUGACCCGAUUGUGAGCAUGGUCCUUUUGGGUUGCCUUCACCAUAGCAACUGAUGGGAUGAAUUAAGGAGAAAAAGGAUUAAUUAUGAUUUAUUAAUAUAUUAUAUGAAUAAUAUAUUAAAAGAGAAAUCAUAUUGUUUAAUUAAUAUUAGUCAAUAAUUCAUUUUGUGGCUAAAAGAGAUUAAUUAAAUAAAGGGGACUGAUAUUGCAAUUAUAUGAUAGUUGCAAAUUGGGCUAUGGAUUCCUAAUGGAAAUCGGAUUGGACAAAAUCUAUGGGAAGCCCAUAUGGAUUUCGUCCAAGGGCUUUCCAAGGGAACUCCAUGGGUUGCUUAAGGCGUAAGCAGUGAGAUUAGGGUUUCCUGAUUCAAAACCCUAAUAGCCUAAGUAUAAAAGGAACCCUUGGCAAGCCAAAAACGUCCCUAACCUUAUAAGAGAAACCCUAGGACGUUUUUGGUGCCUCCUCCCUCUCUCCUUGUUCAUCUUGUUACAUAUGGUGUUUGUGACUCCAUUAGAGGUGCAACAUUUGAGGCACUAGGCUUUCAGAAGUCAAUUACAAGAAGGAUUCGGAUUGUUAUUGCAACAUAACAAUCAAGGUAAGAUCUAAAAUCUAUCCUUUUGUCAAUUUUGAUUAUUGUAUACUAGAGUUAGGGUUUAUGAGCUUUGGAUGAUUAUUACGUAUAUCAGACAAACUAGAUCCAAAGCUUUAGGGUUUGCAUGUACACCAUAGGAUUGACGUAGUGCUCAAAACCCAUCAAAAACUACGCCAAAGGGAUAUAUGUAUCCCAACUCCCACCAAAAUCCAGAACACACGCCCGAAGCAUAUCCUCCAAGGUAUGAAUAGUCCUCUCGCUCUGACCAUCAGUAUGUGGGUGGAAAGUCGUACUGAAAUGCAGAUGAGUACCCAGCUCGUCGUGGAACCUCUUCCAAAAUCUGGAAGUAAACCGGACGUUCCUGUCUAAAACCACAAAACGGGCACACCAUGAAGUGCCACUACCUCCCUGAUGUAUACCUCAGCUAACUUCUCUGAGGAGAUACUAUCUUGAGUCGGAAUAAAAUGUGUGAACUUGGUCAAUCAAUCCACGAUGACCCAAAUCGAAUCCACUCUAUGUUCACUCUAAGGCAACAUCGUAAUGAAAUCCAUGGUAAUCUCCUCCCAUUUUCAAACAGUGAUAUCUAACGGUUACAUCUUGUCGUGAGGCCACUGAUGCUCGGCCUUGACUUUCCUUCAAGUCAAGCAUCUCUCCACGUACCAAGCUACAUCCCGCUUCAUACAGGGCCACCAAUAAUCAGGAUGAAGAUCAAUAUACAUCUUCGUCGUGGUGGGAUGAAUGGAGAAUCUCAAUUUGUGUGCCUCCUCCAUCAGAACUUGACGCACACCAGCCCAAUCGGAACCCACACUCUUCGAUGGAGAUUCAAUAACCCUUGGUUUUCAUAAUAAAAGGAAGCCACCUGACUCACUGUGCGCUCACUCUUCCCAUCACAACCUCAACCUGAGCCUCUCAAAUCUACUCUAAAAGUGGAGUGAUCACAGUCAUCCUGAAACAAAUAUCCUUGAACGGAGCCGCGAUCGCCUUGCUGCUAAGAGCAUCGGCCACCACAUUAUCCUUCCCCGUAUGGUAAAGGAUCUCACAAUCAUAAUCCUUCACCACAUCCAACCAUUGGCACUGCCUCAUGUUCAUAUUUGGCUGAUCCAUCAGAUACCUCAAGCUCUUGUGAUAUGUCUAUAUAGUACAGCGGGCCCCAUAGAGGUAAUGUCAUCAAAUCUUGAGGGCAAAAACCAUAGCCCCAACUCUAAAUCAUGCAUCGGAUAAUUCGUCUCAUGAUGCUUCACUUACCUUGAAGCGUAAGCGAUCACGUGACCCCUCUGCAUCAGAACUACACCUAAACCUGUGAUCGACGCAUCAUAAUAAACCAUGAAAUCUUCAACACCCUCCGGCAGGGUCAAAAUAGAUGCCUCACACAAUCUUUAUCUUAGGGUCUCAAAAGUUGCAUGUUGGUCGGGCGCCCAGCGAAAAGUGACAAUCUUCUUCGUCAACCGAUUUAGAGGAACCGCUAUCUUGGAGAAAUCCUAAAUGAACCUCCGAUAAUAGCCUUCCAACUAAGGAAACUCCAAAUCUUAGAUGGAGACCUCGGUACCUCCCACCUCAUCACGGCCUCGACCUUGGCCGGAUCGACCAGAAUACUGUUUUGGUUGACAAGGUGCCCUUGAAACUGCACCUCGUGCAACUAGAACUCGCACUUGGAGAACUUUGCAAAAAGUCUCUCCCUCCUCAAAGUUUCCAAUACCUCCCUGAAGUGCUCCUCAUGUAGCUCCUGGGUCUUGGAAUAGACCAGGAUAUCAUCAAUGAAUAGGGCAUUUUGUAUAAUCAAUUGUUGAUGUUAUUGAAAAUAAUGAUGUUAUUGAAACAUAUGCAUGGCAUGUAUUCCCAAUAAUUAUAUUUAAUUAAUUGGUUGUUGUGCAUGUUAUUAUAUUGGGAACAAAUUAGAAAGUGGUCCAUGUGGUAGUACAUGAUAUGUAUGGGGACCAUUUGUAGUUAAUAGUCAAUGGGUAUUUUUAUAAUGGAAAAAUGGGACCUUUGAACCCAUUAUAGAACCAUAUCCAUGACUAUAUAACAAAUUCACAUGCAUGCACAUUAUUCCAAAUUUUUCCAUGCAUAAAUAUUCAAACCCAUUGGUCAUGAGUUUACUUAAAAAGGCAACAUACUUUCAUAAGUGAGUAAAAUAUCAUUUCAUGUCAACAAUUUACUUACAAAGGCAACAUACAUUCAUUAGUGACCAAAAUACCCUUUUAUGUCAUGAGUUAACUUAAAAAAGCAUCACGCAUACAUAAAUGACUAAAAUACCCUUUUAUGUCAUGAGUGAACUUAAAAAGGCACCAUGCAUACAUAAAUGACCAAAAUACCCUUUUAUGUUAUGAGUGAACUUAAAAUGGCACCAUGCAUACAUAAAUGACCAAAAUACCCUUUUAUGUCAUGAGUUAACUUAAAAAGCCACCAUGCAUACAUAAAUGAUCACAUCACAUGUAUUCAAAUACACAUACUUUAAAUCCAAAUUACCAUCAUCCUAAUACACAAACUUAAAAUCCAAAUUACCAUCAUCCUAACACACAUACUUUAAAUCUAAAUAACACAAAGGAAAAAUCAACACUAAUAAAUUAGAAGAGCUUUUCCCUUAGAAUUUCCUGGAUCAUCAACACCACCAACUUUCUUGCCUAAUUUCAACUUGAAGAUUCUCUUUGACUUUCUUCUCCUUAUCCUGUUCAAAAUCUUGGAAAUUGGUCUAACCCUUACCUGUUGAACCUAGAUAAUAGGAGUAACCUCCUAAAUUUGAACAUUAUCAACAACUUGGACAUUAGGAAUAACCUCAUCAUCUUGAACAUUACCACCCUCCUCAACUUCCUCACCCAUAACACCCCCAUCACCUUCAUAACUUCUAGGUGGAAUAACUUGCAUAGACUGACUAAAAUCCCUUGCACUACUGGAUUCAACAUGAGUAGAAGUAACUUGCAUAUCAUUUUGAGUAUUAUCCAUCUCAAUUGGAGUCAUUUAACCUCUUCUUGUUGUUGUGGUUCACUUGUACUACCCUAUAUGGCAUGAUAUAAUUAUGUUAGUGGCAAAUCAUAUGUAAAUAAAUUUAAAUUUUAAAUGGUUUUACCUGUUCUGCAUUUUUCUUCACAUAAACUUUUUGUUUCUUCUGUUUCUUUACAUUUAACUUUUGGGGCCUUCUCUAUGGACAAGUGGCCUUACUGUGACACAUCUCCUUGCAUAUAAUACAUCUAAUUUUCUUUCCAUCCUUAGAAACCCUGUGUGUUCCUGUAUUCUUUGUAGUGGAUUUCUUCUUCUUAGUAGCUGGCCUACCAUGCAUCCGUCUACUAAUAAGAGGCAAUGGUGGAGUAUAAUUUGUCUCUGGCCACAUGUCACUGCCAUUCAUGGGGGAAAUUCUGUAAUUGUAUGCCUUCCGAAUUGUGGUGGUGUUAAACAUGUUGUCUACAUAGGCUUCUACAUCUCUAUUAAGAUUGGAUAUGGUAGCUACAGAAUGAGCAUAUCCAUAUCCAUUUAACCGCCACAACCUACAUGAACAUGUUUUCCUUUAUAAGUCCACCUCAUAUGCAUCUGUUUCUCCCUUACCUCGAACUGGUUUAAUCCACUAGGUAGUACCUGAUAAUGCCUCUGAAUUUUUUAAGCAAAUUCACCUUAUCCCUUAUCUCUGGACAAAUAUUAUUUCCCCAUUGUUGUCCCUUUAAUUUCAUGUUGUACAUUUUGUCCAUCAUGUAUAAUCUUAACUCCUCUAACAUGGUUAUUAUGGGCUUCUUCCUGGUAUCCACUAUUACAACAUUAAAACUUUCAGAGAAAUCAUUUUCAACUGCAUCACAACACCUUCCAGCUUGAAAGUAAGCUCUUGACCAUGUUUUAAGAUCUUUCUCCAUGAGAUAUUGAUGGGCAUCUGGGUUUAAUGUCUCAAUUUCCUUCAUCACAACUUUAAAAGCAUGCUCAUUUGUGGUUUUAGAUGCUCUCCAAAACAAGGUAUGAUAUAUGACACCAGUGAAUCUCUUCUGCAAAUUUUGAAAAAUAUGUCUAGCACACUGCCUGUGCAUAUGGAAGAAACUCUUUAACAGCCUCUAUCAAACCUUGUAUUAAUAAAAAGGUUUAAAUCAGAUAGUAUAAAAUAAAUAUAAAUGAAUUACUAUGUAAAAUACUAACCUUAUGUUGGUCUGACAUUAAACUGAAGCAAUUGCCUAAACUUAAGUUUAGAUUAUUAAUGAGAAGCUCUAAAAACCACUUUUAAUUCUACUUGUUCUCCACACUAACCAUUGCCCAAUCAAUAGGAUAUAUCUUGUUAUUUACAUCCCUCCCAAUAACACAAAGCAAUCCCCCCUUACAAACACCUUUAAGAAAACAUCCAUCAAGACCCAUUAUCCUUCUACACCCUUUAAUCCAACCUUGUUUAAUUCCUUGAAAACAAACAUAGAACUUGCUAGAAUAUUUCUUUCCAUCUGGACCAUCCUCCACAUCUAGUUUCACAGUUGACCUAGGAUUUGUCCUUAAAAUCUCAUCAACAUAUUACCAUAGCUUACCAUAAUGUUCAACAAGGCUACCUUCAACAAGAUUUAAUGCAUACUUCUUUGUUCUCCUACAUUAGCCCAUACUAACUUGGAUACUAAACUUGGUCAUUACCUUUACCCUAAGCUUCCUUACACUCAUUUUAUGACUUUGUACAAUCUCUUUGGUAUAGUGACUCCCAAUCCAUGCAUAUGUCACCAAUAAUCCAAACUUGAAGUUCCUAGCACAAUUAUGAUAAGCUUUUUGUGACUUGAUUUGGAAAGUCUCUCCAUCAUUCAUCCAAGAAGCCCAUAAUAUAAAUGUGCAAGCACCCUUGCUACAUCUCACCAAAAGUCUUUUCCUAUCAUAUUUUUUCAAAACACAAUUGAUAUCCAUUAGCCACAACAUAGUUGCACAACCUUGACUUUACUUGCCCUGGACCCUUAGAUCUCAUUCCUAGAAUUGGUUUUUGUUUUUUCCAGUGUAAUAGCUCAUUAAAUAUGGAAAUAGUUUGGAUGUUAGGUUCAACUUCUCUCCCAUUAUCAUCAUCUACAAUGUUGUUAUCCUCCUCAUCAUCAACACACAACUUACUCACGAAAGGAUCAUUUGAUGUCCUAUUCAUAUGCACUGCAUCCUUAUUAAAUUCAAAGACAACAUUCCUAAGUUCAUCUAUGUUAUCUUCAUCUAUGUUAGCGGCGCAGCUUUUUGCCCGUUUGCCUUCAAUCGAUAUGUAUUGAACAAAAAUGUUUGAAUGUCUAUCAAUACAAGGCUCAUGUUCAUCAUCAAACCACCCACCAACACCAACCCCAAUAUGAUCCACAUAAACCGAAAUUACACCAUCUGUUCCAUCAACAUCAAAAAUAAAAGCAGCAUAGUCCACAUCAUCUGAAAAUGGGAUUAAGCUCUUCCAUCAGGGAAUUGCCUGGUUUACAGUAGUAAAACUUUUUACACUCUUCAUGCAUGAAAUGUUCACAGAAGGUCACAAGCUCAGAAUAAGUCAUAGAAGAAAAGUCGACAUCAGUGAACAUGGUUUUCACACCACCAGUGUAAGAGAAAGGAUUUCGAUUAAAUACCCCUUGGUAGUUGAGUUCCACCAUCACAAACACUCCAUUAGGUUCCGAUUGUGCCAUUUUUGCGACUUCUUUGGCUCUUCAGCUCGAUCACAAAAAUGCUUCACAAAACCUAAAUCAAUUUCUUUUAAAACUAAAUAAUGAAGACGAGUGAAGUUCGAUAGCUGAAGACAAAAGGCUUAAAGCUUCGUAUAUCAUCUAUUGAUGUGGCAUAUCUCACAUGGCAUCAGAUUAGCUAAAAAAGAUAUAUUAAUUGACAUAUAUAAAAUGUCAACCAGGAAACCGUUUACAAGUAUGGAAAUGACUAAAUUAAUAAGUCAGAUACCAUUUUAAUGGUCUAAUGUACCCAAAAAACUUUAAUGACCAAAUUAGCCAAAUGUAAAAAGUUUCAUGUGCUACAGUGACAUUAUCCCUGAUGGGUUUUGAGCAUUCUAACACUCCUAUGGUGUACAUGCAACCCUAGAAACCUUGGAUCUAUGUUUGACUAAUAUACAUGCAAAUAAUUAUUUUCCAAGGUUCUUAUCCUAUCUAGCAUGGCAUGGGAACUUGAAUCAAAUAGAGCUAGUAGAAUUACUUACCUUGUAGUUGUUUAAAGCUUCGUAUAUCAUCUAUUGAUGUGGCAUAUCUCACGUGGCAUCGGAUUAGCUAAAAAAUAUAUAUUAAUUGACAUAUAUAAAAUGUCAACCAGGAAACCGUUUACAAGUAUGGAAAAUGACUAAAUUAAUAAGUCACAUACUAGUUUAAUGGUCUAAUGUACCAAAAAAACUUUAAUGACCAAAUUAGCCAAAUGUAAAAAGUUUCAUGUGCUACAGUGACAAUAUCCCUGAUGGGUUUUGAGCAUUCUAACACUCCUAUGGUGUACAUGCAACCCUAGAAACCUUGGAUCUAUGUUUGACUAAGAUACAUGCAAAUAAUUAUUUUUCCAAGGAUCUUAUCCUAUCUAGCAUGGCAUGGGGAACUUGAAUCAAAUAGAGCUAGUAGAAUUACUUACCUUGUAGUUGUAGUUGAUUGCUUGGAGUUUUAGAGCCUAGCACCAAUAGUGUGGAUGCCUCAAAUGUAAAUCACAAAUCACUACAAACUUGGAACUUUGAGAGAAUAGUAACCACCUUUCUUGAAAUCGGCCCUCUUACUUUACUCACCACAACUAGUAUGAUUUCAAGAACCAAAGCCUCCUUUAUAUAGUGUGGUGGAUUAGGGUUACAUCCAUGUAAACCCUAAUACCCAUGUCUUUUCAUUUCCAUGAGAUCCAUGGGUUAAAGCUCCAUGGAGUAUCCAUGGACUUUCCAAGCAAGCCUAGCCCAUUCCAAAUAAGCAUUAGCCCACACUAUAUAAAUAUAAGAGCCCAUAUUUAAUUAGUAAUACUUUUGAUCUCUAAAUUAAUUUUAGAUUAAUUAUAGAUCAAUACUAAUUAAAUAAUAUGGUUUUAUAUUAAUAUAUUAGAACUUAUAAUAUAUUAAUAAAUCAUAACUUAUACUAUUCUCAAAAGAUUAUCCAUAAAUUGUUCGGGUGAAGUGCAACCCAAAUGGACCAUGACGGGUCGGGUCAAGUACAUACCAAAUAUAGUUAUGGACUUAGACACUAUAUCCAACAAUCCCUACAUAAAGUCAUAUGUAGUCAAGGAUCAGAUAGAUAAUCGAACAUAUGACUCACCUAAGAGCGAACAAUCAGAAAAGAACAUCACAAUCAAGCCUUAGAUCAAGAGUUAUCAGUCUAUCCAACUUAAACUAGAUAGACCUAAGAUAUUAUUACCACCUAACCAUGUGACAUAAACAUUUAACAGAUACUAGCAUAUUUAUACACUUAGCAACUAUCCUUCCCUAGUUACCCUGUCAUUGAUCACUUCUCAAUCAAGUGAUCAUCUGGUCAGUCAUGCAUAAUCAUGAUAAUUGACCUACCCCAAUUUCCCUAACUAAACAUAACUCAUAACAAUAUCAUACAAUAAAUAGGAAAGACCUCACAAGAAUAGCAUACCCAGACACCAAGUGUUCUAAACUGCACAUGCAUAUCCUAGCCAACUAGCAUAUUUGUACUCUAACAGUAUCUCCAUCCUAUCAUGCACAGGAUAUAUAAUGAGAUAUGUGGCAUACUAUGAAACUCACCUGAACUGAAGAACCGGAGAAGCACAACAACACUCUUACACAUUUCACUACUCGAUCAUGUGAACCAAUUAACACCAAAAUAGAUAAAUCCUCAAUCAAUAAUCCAAAUCCUCCAAGUUUGACCCUAAGUCAAACUGGUCAAAAGUCAAUAGUCGAUGUAACGCCCAUGUUUCUUUCCAGACAUUAACUAAAUAAUUAGGGUCAACAAUCACCACAACGUGGUAACCUCUUGGCCACAUCCUGGGAAUUUCCAUACAAAAUAGUUACGAAGCUUAGGAUCACCAUGUCGUUGCAAGCCUAUUGCCACGUCGUGGAAAUUCACAGGAAGUCAUAUUCUUCAUUAUGAGCUUAAUGCUUACAGAUCUAAGCUCAAACUUUCAUAUUUGAUUCUUCUUGAUGAAUUAAUGGAUCUUAAACCAUAAGUCUAUUAAGUCUUUAAUAUGACCAAAACUAGAGCAUGGAGAAAAGGGAGCUAUGAAUUAACGCUUUUUCCAUCAAACAAGACCAAAAGAUGGUCACCAAACAAUUCUAAAGUUCUGGAGUUGGCCAAAACUCCAAGAAAAUGCCUUCAAGGGACUUCAAAGCAUGAUAUGAGAGAAAAGGAUGAUAAAGGUGGAAGCUUUAUACCUUCCCAAAAUCCACAAGACAUAGGAGAUGCAAGAUCUGAAGUAGAUACACCAUUCAAACUAGCAAACACACUGUCGUUUCCUUCCCAAAGUGCAACCCAAGGCUUCAAACUUCAAGAACUCCAAGAACUCAUCAAUAUCACUCAAAUAGGGCUAGGGUUUCGAAAUAGGAGGAUGGAGACUGAGGGAAAUGAGCUAACCCUAGAGUUAAGGCCAUUAAAUAUGGGAGAAAAUAUAAAAAAAAAAAUUAUGUGCUUGGGCUACAGCACUCACAACGUCGUGGCAACCCUCUAGUCAUGUCGUGGUGCUCUUCAAAAUGUGCGUUCCCGAAAAUAUGUGUCACGUCGUGGUCAUCCAUGCACCAUACCAAGGCAUAGAUUUUUCUCCUAAAACCCCAUCUUUGAUCCUAUUAGCUCUUUAGUUAAACUAUUAUAGAAAAUAGGUGUUAUAGCCACCAUUCCGAGUUCCUUCUGUGACUGCUAAAUUAGUGUUUGGCGGGUUGGGGAGCCCGACUUCUUUCUCUUAUAUCUUCACAUAUAUAUAUAUAUAUAUAUAUAUAUAUAUAUAUAUAACAUUUUUUUUUCAAAAGUGUAAUACUAUCAAGGGAAAUUGACUUAUCAGGGUAAUUACUGUUUUGUUUUGUUCACAUCGGGGUAACUCUUUUUUUAGUACACAUCUAGGUAACAAACUUUUUGUAAGUGUUCACAUGUGACCAUUAUAAUUGGUUGUAGCAAGUUACAACCGAACGUAAUUGUCAUAUAUGAACACUUCCAACAAGCUCGUUACCUCGAUGCAUACAAAAAAAUGAAGUUACACAUAUGUGAACAAAACGAAAAGGUAAUUACCCUGAUAAGCCAAUUUCCCUUUUUAUUAAGGUGGCAAAUCAUAAUGUUUGUAAUAUUAAUAUAUUCAUUUAAAUUUCUUUAAAACAACAUUUGUAACACCCGGAAUCUAGAAGAUUAAUUAUGGAAACAAAUUCCCUUACCUAAGUAAAAACACGAUGAGUUGAUGGUGGGAAACUCGAUGUGUUGGAGGUUUUUGGGACACACGUUUUUAUGAACCAACUCGGUGAGUUGGUGAAGGAAAAUCGGCGAGUUGGACACUGACUGAGAAACCCUAAUUUUUAGGGUGUUACACCCUAUUUAAAGACCUUAAGUUCUUUAGCUGGCCUCCUUACCGGCCUCCUCUAUCCAGAAACCCUAAAACUGAGCCUUGUCUUCCAUUUAUGAGUGUGAAAGCUUGGGGAGAGCCUUGAGAGUUCAUUUUUGGUGCUUUUUGAAGGAGCUAAGGAAUUAGGAGUUGCUUGGCUUGAAGAAGAAGUCUUGGAUCCAGAAUCUCUGCCUCAUUUGCCAAGUUUUUGAGGAAUCGUGUUCUUACCUUGCUUAUUUGUUGCUUAGAUCUCUUCUUGGGUUAGAGUUUAUGAUUUUUAGCCAUUUUGGGUGAAUGUUGGGGAUUAGGAGGUCCCAAGCAAUUAUUAUUUCAGAUAUAAGGGCUAGCGGCGCUGCUUGUUGCCCGUUCGCCUUCAAUCGAUAUGUAUUGAACUUUCAUUGGAGUAUAUUUUCUUAAUAUAAAUAUAUAAUAGAUAUAAGGUCUACAUGAGCUCUUUAGGCAUAAAGGUGCCAACUUUAUGGAUUUAAUGGCUUCAUGUAUUCAUUAAGUCUUUCAGUUAGCCCUUUUUGAGCUUUUGAUCACCUCCUAGUCAUGCUUAAGUGUAAAGUUGGAAACUUUACACGGCCAUCUAGCCUUAUGGGGACAGAUCUGCAUUAUGGGUUUUAUCUUUGAUGAUUAAGUGAUUAAUGAUUAAGCCUUCACUCUUUUAAGUUUAGGGUUUGGGUUUGGACCCAUUAGGUGAUUCCUAGGGGUAAAGUUGGAAAAUUUACCCUUCUUGAUCUCAUUUUGGUCGAGAGCAGAGCUUUGGAGCCUUUGGACUCGAUGAAGGUACCUUAAUGCAUUAAGAUGUUGGUUCUUGAGAGAACUCGGCGAGUUGACUUGGUUUCCCCGAUUUGUGUAGUUGAUGGAGAAACUCGACGAGUUGGGUUAACUUGGACCGUUGACUUUGACUUUCGAUUUAUGUCUUUGAACAAGUUUGUCCCAAUGGGUACUUGAGGUAAUCUGAAUUGUAAUUAAGGGAAUUAUGAGAUUAGGAUAAGGCCCAUAUGGGGUUGGUCCCAAUUUGGAAAAUUGGGCCAUUACUGGGCCUUUGCGGAUCUUUUGGUUUUGGACUUUUUGGUUAAUGGAAUUUGGGCCUCAGUUUUGGUUCAUGACGCGUUAGGGUUAAAAUGGUCAUUUUCCCCCAAGUAUGGAUGGAGGGCUUUAGAAUGGAACCCAAUUGCUAAUUAGGUGUUAUUUUGAUCUCAUAGCUCGGAGGUCUCAUCAGGGCAGCAGCUAGGGACUUCUUUCUGUGAGUUUCUGCGUUCGAGGUGAGUCUCCUUACUUUUCUAUGGUUUGAAGGCAAUAAUGACGGCCCAUUUGGUUUAUGUAUUAUAGGAAGACCUGGGGGAUAAACCUUGGCAGUUUGUAUGAAAGACCAGGAGGCGGCUCCUGGCAAACUGUAUGCAAGACCAGGGUCUGAACUCUAGCAGUUGACUAGUUAAGUAGUGUAGAUUUUAUACUAUUUGUCUUUGUGACACUUUCAUGGAAGACUCGAAGGUGGAUCCUGGCACUUGUCUGUAAGACCUAGGUUUUUGGCCCCCGGCCUGACAAGGAAGACCACAAGGCGGCUCAUGUCAUAAUGGCAAGACUAUGGAUGGCACAUAUCACCUUUACUAAUUGGGGUAUAUGUAUGCUAAGUAAGACUCAGUGAUAUUAAUGUUAUUUAUAGUUUUGAGUUGAGUUUUCUCCUGCGAUUGAGGUGCAACAGUUGGUGCGAGAGUUUCUGGAUCUCUGUCAGACUACUGAGACUGUGGCAGAUUGUGGAAGGGUGGAAGUGAUGUAAGACUGAGGGGUGGCCCGUAGCAUUCACUAGUUAGAAGUUGGUAUAAAAAUGUUGUAAGACUGUGGGGUGGCACGUAGCAUUCACUAGCGAUCAGAUAGUGUGGGAAGUGUUGUAAGACAGAGGGGUGGCCCGUAGCAUUCACCAGUCCCUAUACAGCGGUGAGAGUGUGGCAAAUUUGUGAUUUGCUCACGGUUUUCUUCGGAUGAUUUUGGCCAGGAUGGAUCAGUUCGCAAGGCUAUGGGAAGGACACAACAUGUUUGGAAUCAAGAUAUGGGAGGUCGUGGGAGACCGGGUUUGAGGUAAGACUAUAGUUGGUCUGUAACGUUCAACCUAGUAUCAGAUUAUUGACGAGACGGUUUGGGUAGUUAUUGCCAGUGAGGCUUUUUUUCAAAAGUUGCGAUGGGCGAUUGUGUGGAGUUUCAAAAGCAGCUACGAGGCAACAAGCUGUUUUGGGCAGUAUUAGUGAUUUUUGGGCAGUAUUUUCGGGUAGUACUAGUCAUUUGGAAUUUGUGUGUGAAUAUGUAAUUUUUCAAACAAUUUUUUUUUCAUUUAUAAAACUCAUAAAAACUCAUAUAUUUCAUUUCAUAAAAUCACAAGUGUCUCAAGUCAACAUAAAUCCACAAGAAAAAUCAAAUCCUAGAAUCCUCAACAUAAUCUCGAACAGGUGUGUACAAUCACGUCGGUGCCUUCCCGCGAUCCUCGGAGGUACUUGAAACACAUAUCACAUAGCACGGUAAGCAUAAAGCUUAGUGAGUUCCUCAAAAUACCAUGCACACACAUAAUUAGCCACUCGAGGCUAUCGCUCUGUAAGACCCUCCGGUUAAUGUGUCUUAGCGAGACCCACCAGUCCUACAAAUCGUCAGACCCUCCGGUCCGGUCUAAGUGAGAACCCUCCGGUCUCACUACUCGUUGGACCCUCCGGUCUAGUCUAAGUGAGGACCCUCCGGUCUCAUAGUUCGUUGGACCCUCCGGUCCGGUCUAAGUAUCUCAUAAUAUAGUACACAGUAUAUAUCACACAGAAAUACAUAACUCAAGCAAGCACAUAAGACCCUCUGGUCACACAUAAUGACCACACUAGGUAAGGUAUAAUGAGAAGACUCACCUCCUAAGAACUCGGAUAAUCUCAAACUCAAAUCACAGGUUUAGCCUCCGCCUAAUAUACACAAUAAUUAUCCCUAAUUAAUAACGGCUCUCACAAGGCUGAACUAACCCUUCCAUACACUCACAGAAGGGUAAAAGACCAUUUUACUCCUCCAUGGGCUUAAUAGACCACAUGUUGACCAAACCCUAAAAGUCAACCGAAAGCCAACAGCAAGGAGUACGCUGUGCGUACCAACUCCCUACGUUGGGCAUACUCGGCUGCCAUGCAGGCAUCGUGGAGACUCGACCUCUACGUUGUGCGUACUGGGAUUAUGCCCAGCGUACAUCCUAGUUUCACUCUCCUCACAAUUUUGGUCUUAAACAGUUAAUACAUUGGCUCAUAAUUCAGAUCUGGACUCCCUAAUGUCUCUUAAUCCAUAAAGUUGGUGACUUUAAGCCUUUGCGUGGCUAAAUAGGUCACAAACACUGAAAACUCCCAUCCCCUUUCCUCAUGAAACUCAUAACUCAUGCAUGGCUUACUCCUAAUGUCCAAGAUUAGAUUUUUAUGACUUUACUCCACAAAAUACACUGAAAAGGGAUAGAUCAAGGCCUCUAGAGUGCAUUAUCUCAUAAAGUCUCCAUCUUUUGGGAAAAAACCCUAAAGUAAUUCAUAUGAAUGCACCAAACAAACAAAUGAGAAAGCUUGAAGAUUUAUACCUUUAUGUGAAACCUUCUUCACAGCUAAGCUCAGAUCCAACUCCUGGGGCUCUCACUCCUUCUUCUCUAAAGCUUCCUCUCUACUUCAAGAACACAAGAUUACACCAACAAGCUCUCAAAUGCACUCUCCAGCUAUAAUGACGGAGAUUUAGGGUUAGGAGGGGUUGGUGUUUGGGAAUGGUGGCCAGGAAUGAGGCCAUCAUGUCCUUUAAAUAGUGAGCUCAUUAAAAUUUAGGGUUUCAUUAUGGGCCUAGCAUGCCCAGCGUACCCACUGGUACGUCGCGCGUACUAGGUGGCCUCCACAUCACUAACACGCAUUGGAGUAUGCUGAGCGUACACUCAAGUACGCCCCGAAUACUCGUUUACCACCUUUUCUCUAAUAAGGCCAAAAUGGACAAAUGCUCAAUAGAUCAAGGUUUACAAGGUAUACCUGGACUUGGGAUGUUACAUCGUGUGUGAGUCUCUUGUAGUUCGGGGAAUAUAAUAAGUUGCUUGUAGUGGAUUAAAUAAUCUCAGAGUGGUUGAUUUGAUUCUAUUGCGCAGUUCUCGUCUGAGUCUAACCAUUGCAGGGAUGAAUCUUCUACUCAAAGGAUUAUCUGAGCCUAUUGUCGAGUAUAAGUGUUCUGUAGCUGCAAAUGAUCUGUUUUUUGGUUCCUUUAAAAGCAUUAAGAUAUUGGUUUUAUAGUGGUUCAGAGAGGGGGAGGGGGUGAUCAGCCAGGAAGUCAAAUCAAAUUGAGAUUUCAGGUAUCAGGAAAGGUAAAGGUGGGUUUUUCUGCAAGGGAUUAAGGUUCGUUCUGCUAGGGUUGGUUUCAGUUGCUAUGGGAAGGUGGUAGUAUUAUGGGGUUGUGAAGAUGAGUCCUUAUGGGGACAGUGUUAUCUGGUGCUAUCUGUCAUGGAGUUCGGCAAUGUCCAGGGUUUUCCAGGUUCAAGUUUAAUGGUUAGGGAUCUUCUAUUUUGGAUUUGUCAUCGGUAUGGGUGGGCGGUUAUCUAAGCGGGGUGACUUCCUUAGUCUUUUGGGGUUCAAGGAGUUUAGUCAGGAUCAUCAGUUCGGUACACGAGAUUUUAGGGAAUGAUUUCGAGGAUGAAAUCUAAUUUAAGUGGGGGAGAGUUGUAACAUCUGGAAUUUACAAGAAUAAUUGUGGAAAUAAAUUCCCUUUCUAGGGACCAACACGGCGAGUUGAUCGUGGGAAACUCGACGUAUUGGAGGCUUUUGGGAUGAGCGUUUUUAUAAACCAAUUCAAUGAGUUGGUGAAGGGAACUCGGCGAGUUGGACGCUAAUCGAAAAACCCUAAUUUUUAGGUUGUUGUACCCUAUCUAAAGGCCUUAAGUUCUUUGGUUGGCCUCCUUACCAGCCUCCUCUGUCCAAAAACCCUAAAAUCGAGCCUUAUCUUCCAUUGUUGAGUGUGAAAGCUUGGGGAGAGCCUUGAGAGUUUAUUUUUGGUGCUAGUUGAAGGAGCUAAGGAAUUAGGAGUUCCUUUCCUUGAAGAAGAAAUCUUAGAUCCAGAAUCUCUGCCUCAUUUGCCAAGUUUUUGAGGUAUCAAGUUCUCACCUUGCCUGUUUGUUUCAUAGAUCUCUUCUUGGGUUAGAGUUAAUGCUUUUUAGCCAUGGUUGGGUGGAUUUUGGGGAUUAGGACAUCCCAAACGAUUAUUAUUUCAGAUCUAAGGUAUAUAUGAGCUCUUUUGGCAUAAAGGUGCCAACUUUAUUGAUUUAAGGGCUUCAUAGAGUCAUUAAUUCUUUCAUUUAGCCGUUUUUGAGAUUUUGUGCUCGUCCUAGUCAUGCUUAAGCGUAAAGUUGGAAACUUUACAUGGCCAUCUAGCCUUAUGGGUUCAGAUCUGCAUUAUGGGGUUUUGUCUUUGCUGAUUAAGUGCUUAAUGAUUAAGCUAUCACUCUUUUAAUUCUAAGGUUUGGGUUUGGACCCAUUUAGGUGGUUCCUAGGGGUAAAGUUGGAAACUUUAACCUUCGGGGUCUUAUUUUGGUCAAUAGCUGAGUUUGGAGCUCUUGGAUUCGAUGAAGGUAGCUUAACGCAUUAAGCUGUUGGACUUUUAGAGCUCAUAUCGUGAGUUCGAUCUUAUCCAUCCGCUGAAUCGACUUCUGACAGCCCGACUCUGGAACCCAUCCAUCACUGGCUCACGUCGUGAGCUUCAUGCUCACGUCAUGAGUCCUCUUAUAGUGUGGGGUUGAGUCUUUUACUCGAAGGAUUAUUUGAUCUUUGUUGCGUGUGGCUAUAUUAAUGAGGAAGCUAGUUGACAUUGGUGGGAUUCCUUUAGCAGUUGAGGGUUUGGUGAGGUCGGGAACCUAGGAAAGCCUAGGAUAUGCUUUAGUGGGUUAGUGGUACGGUUUAGUGAGUUUUGGUGCAUUGUGCUGAAGAAGUGACUUAGAGGAUUCGAGAGGAUUACUGAGGAAAGUAUGGAUAGGUGGGCUUUAGAAUGGAACCCAAUUGCUAGUUGGGUGUUAUUGUGAUCUGAUAGCUCGGAGGUGUCGUCAGGGCACUAAUGUCGGCCCAUUUGGUUUAUGUAUUAUAGGAAGACCCAGGGGAUAACCCUGGGCAGUUUGUAUGAAAGACCAGGAGGCGGCUCCUGGCAAACUGUAUGCAAAACCAGAAUCUGAACUGUGGUAGUUAACUAGUUAACUAGUGUAGAUUGUAUGCUAGUUGUCUUUGUGAUGCUUGCAUGGAAGACUCGGAGGUGGCUCAUGGCACUUUUUUGUAAGACCGCAGGUUUUGGCCCCCGCCCUGACAAGGAAGACCACGAGGCGGCUCGUGACAUAAUGGAAAGACUAUGGAUGACACAUAGCACCUUUACUGAUUGUAGUAUAUGUAUGCUAAGUAUGGCUUGUUGAUAUGAAUGUUAUUUAUGGUUCAAUCGGUAUGUUUGGUAUGUGGUAUUUGGGGAACUCAAGAAGCUAUGUGCUUACAUUUUGUGCUUUAUGGUUUCAUGUAAUUCCAUUUUGAAAGGAAAGGGUUCGGCUUAAUCGCAACGCAUACACCCAUGUUUUCCGCAAUGUGUGAUAUUUAGGAAUGAACUCUGAUAAUUGUUUUAUUUUGAAACUCUUCUAGAUGUCGGAUUAAAGGUUAAUGAAUGUUUUGGGCAUAAUAAAAACGAAAUUUUUACCCCUGAUUUUCGGGAUGUUACAACAUUUAUUACCAUUUAUUGACAUUUAAAUUGGCCACGACAUGUUUGAAACCAUUUGUGAUAGCAUAAUUAUCAAAUCAAAUAACUCUAUAUAUUGAGACAAGAGCAAUGUUAUCCAUGUGGAUAAAAUGUAUUUCUAUUUUUUGUAUUUUAAAUUCAUGUAAUACAUGGAACAAAAUUGAAGAUGAUAUUCUAUUUCAUGUUAUUGGUCUCAAUAUCUGACACUUUUAGUAUCUAGUAAAUUUUAAUUUUCAUAUGUAAUAUCUUAAACAAUAAAAUUCUAUAAAAUGACGAUGUAUUUUUUCCAUGUCAAAUGUGAUUUUUUUUUUGUAUCAAAGUAGUGUAUUUUAAAAAGAUAUUUACCAAGUUGGAUUGAGUGACAAGUGGAUUGAGUUAACUGAAAAAAAAAAUUAUUUUUCAUGGGUUAGAAAAGAUGAAAAAAAAAAGUUGAUAUAGAACUCACACCACAUGAAUGAUUUGACACCGUUCUACUCCUACGACCUUUACCCCCAACAUCGAAUUCAUUAUGAUUGUUAGCCUAUCUUACGAGACAGACAUGACCUCCUACUACCAUGUAUACUAAGUCCCACUAUUUAUAACUCUACCCUAUAAAACUCGACGGAGCGCUGGGGUGAAGGGUUACGGGAUCCUUUCCCGCUCACCGGAACANNNNNNNNNNNNNNNNNNNNNNNNNGGGGGGGGGGGGGGGGGAAGGCUGCUGCACUCUCUCUCUCUCUCUUCUUCCUAUUGGCUGGUUUUUUUCCCAAGCGAACUGUUUGAAAUAAAUAACAAAAUUAAUUUUUUUUUCAAUACAACUAUUGAAAAACAACAAUGAAUUUAUAUAUAUAUAAUUUUGUUUUUACCUCUAUAACAUCUAUAAAUAUACACAUACUUUAACCUUUCAAACUCACACCUCCUUCUAUGAAUUUCUCUGUACUUUCUUCAAAAAAAGGAAUCCAUACAACCAAACCCCAAACUUCGAUAGAAGGAAAAAAACCAAUGUUUCAAAUUUAAGCACCCCAACUCGAAACAUUUUUGAUAUCGAUUCAUCUCAAGGGGUUUAUCGUCCACAACUCGAUGCUCACAUUUAAUCUUCACUACAAUCACAAUACCAAAAUAUUAGACAAUUUUACCCGAUGCAAGUUCCAAAUGUUACUCCAAAUAUGCUAUUAAACUUUGUUGUUUUUCCUGAUCAACUUUCGCCAAAUCAACCCCAAACUCAAAUCCCACUCUUUCAAUCUCAAACCCAAACCCAACCUAAGCCCAAACACAAUAUCAACAACAAUACCAAAUCUUCGAUGAGUCGGAUGAAGAGAUUGUACGGGAAACUCAACCCACAACCCCCAACCCCACAAAGUAAAACAACAAGUGAGAGAGGGUUCCAUACAACCGGGACGACAGAAGCCGCAACCAUGGACUAAACGAGAAGAGAUAAUUGGGGUAAAAGCUUGGGUUGACAUUUCAGAUGAUUCAGCGACAGGAAAAUGCACAACCUGAGGAUCAUUUUUGGUUUCACAUUCUUGAGAGGUUUCAUAAGGAGAUGGGAAAAAGUGACGAGUAUCGUACCAAUCAUCAAUUGAAUUCAAAGUUUCGAGAAAUAGCGUGGGCCGUUUCAAAAAUGAGCGGGUGUACAACAACCUAAAAACCUAAUGGAAAAGCAGCCAAGGAGAUGAAGAAAUACUUCAGGAAGUUUUGCAUUUUUUCGAGAGGAAGUGGGAAAGUCAUUCAAGUGCCACGAUUGUUGGAAAAUAUUGAUUAAAAGUCGUAGGUGGAAAAAAUACGAGCAAGAGUUUAUACGUCGAGUACAACAAUCAAAACGAACAAAAAUGAGCUCUAGUGGUUACACAACUUCCUCCGAUGCUCGGGUCGGUCUAGAUUUAAAUGACGAGGACGCACUCGAGCUAGAAGAAAUUGUCCGACCGAUAGGUAGGGACAAAGCAAAAAUGAAGGGAAAUGAGACUUCUUGGGGUGAAUCGAAUUUCAGCAUGGACGCGGACCAAGUGCGAAAAAUGGUGGAGAUAUUUGAUCGAUAUAAUCUUAAUUUUGCUGAAAGUUUUGGCAUUCGACAAAGACAAAGAAGGAGAAAAAAAGAAGGAGAACGCAUAGAAACAAGAAAUGGAGGAGAUGAUGUUAUUGAUGAAAAAUACCGACCAUCUUUCGGGACUAGCUUCGGAGCUCGUUUUGAAAAAAAAAGGUGCGGAUUAUGCAAAAAUAUUUUCCCUAAGAGUGUUGUUUGUUUUUUUUUUCUAGUUAUUUAAAUCUUAGGUUUUUAUGUAAUUUUUAUUAUAAUUAACAAUGGCGGAGUUACUAUAUCAUUAUAAAUAAUAUUUUGUUUCUUAUAAUGAUAAUCUUUCCUAAUAAAUAAAGAACUUUUUGUCACAUGUCAAACUCUCAUUGAUUUGACCACAUGUCAUUUUGUGGUUAUUUUCAAUUAAUUUUUUUUUACACAUGUCAUUUUGGGGUUUUUUCAUUUUAUUAAUUUUCACAUAAUAUUUAAAUGUAAUAAUUACAAUAAAUAUAAUAAUAAAAUGCAUAUCAAUUUUAUUAAUUGACUUCCUUUUAAUUUUAAAAUUUCUAAAUUAAAGUUUCAUUAGUUUCCUUUAUUUAUUUAUCUAAAUUAUUUGUUUAAUUUAAAAGAAAAACAAACAAUUUAAUUUUAAUAAUUAAAUGUUUUUCUAUUGUUUUCUUAUAAAUUCAAACUUGUCAAAUGUUUAAAAUUUUAUAUGUUUUUCUUUAAAAUGAACUCAUGUAAUACAUGAGUGUUACACCUAGUGAUAGAUUAUAUCACGAGUACAAUUCAUUUAAUGAAACAUAUGUACGUAUAAUUAGAGAAAAUUUUUAAUAUUAGCAUGUUAAUCCUCUCUAAAAAAUAAAAAUAAUUUUGCCACAUAUCACUCUUUUAUUAAUUUGGACACAUGUCAUUUUUUGGUAUUUUUGAUUAAAUGUUUUUUCCAUUUGUCAAUUUUUUAUUUUUUAAUAUUUUCUUAAUUAACACAUCAUAUAUACACCUCAAUUAAUAAUUACCUUAAUUGAAAAUAACCAAUAAAUUACAAUAUUAAUAGUCAUAUAGUAUUUAAUAUGUUUCCUUUUAAAUUUAAAUUUUAAAAUUUUAAUUUCAAAUCUAAAAUUUCAAAUUUGAAUAAAAUUUGUUUGAACUUUUAUAUUUAAUUUUUGUUUUAUCAAACUCGUAUAACAUACGGGUCUCACACCUAAUGGAGAAUUAUAAAUCAACGUUUAUUGUCGGUCUAAACUUUUGAAAUGUCAUUUUUGCAAUGAUCGGUAUAACUUCUCCUUAAAGGAAUUUUUAUAGUCAUUUUCUCUUUCAAGAUUGUAGACUCUUUUACAUUAUUUUGAUAAAAGAUAUAUUUGAAUAUAUUUUUACGACGUCGGCUUUCCUUAUUCUUAAAUCCUGGCUCCGUUCCUUUUAAUUAAUGUAGUGGUUUUUAUUUUUAAUUAUAUAUAUAUAUAUAUAUAUUACUUAUUCAUUUAUAAAAUUAUAAAUCAUAAAAUCAAUUAUUUUUACUUAAAAAAGAGUGAUACACCUUUACAAAAUUAUAAACCAUAAAAAUCAAUUAUUUUUACUUAAAAAAUAGUGAAAAAACCUUCCCACAUACACCUUGGUUUCUAACUAAGAAAAAAAAUGUAGGAAAAAGGAUAAAAUGAUAAAGAAAAAUAAUAAAAAAAAAAAUAAAAACCUUCCCGUACCCACCCUCCGGCAUAAGAAGGUGCGUCCCUACGAGUACAAGAUACACAGGUGUAGAUACAUAUGUAAAAAGCUAGUAAUUAACCAACUAAUUAUUAAUUAUUAAAUAAAAUAGGGAUAUAAUAUUAAUGAUAAACACAUUAAAAUAUUCCAAAUGCUCAUGAAGUCAACAUGAGAAAUUAUAUUGCAAUAAAUUUCUUGUUGGGUGAGAAAUUCACAAGUAAAAUUUGUAUAGUAAAUAACAAACCGAAAGUUCCAGAAACAGGUCAAAACUUAAAACCCUAAAUGAGCUUACAAAUUUCCAUUGGCCACAUACCCCACCACAAAGGCACAAACAAUCAAUGAAACAAGUGUAGAUGUAGAGGCCUUUUUCACCACAAUCACCCUUCAUCGGCCAUUUCGAAGGCCACGUGAAAUGUCACUAACGUGGCCCUCUAAAUAUCCACUACUUUGUCUUUAACCCCUCCCCCCUCCCUUAUAAAACACUCCAUCCUCCUCCUUAAUCACCAUCACCAACAACCUUCUCUCCUUCCUCAAAAGUACCACCAUCUUUUCCGACAUGGCAGCUUCUUCAAUCUUCAUGGCAACUCCCAUCACACUCCUCAAAAAAACUCCCACCUUCUCCGUCAAAUGCAUGUCACAAACACCUCAAAGCGGUGAACCGGAGAUUUCAAAAUCAGCAACCACCCCAACACCACCACAGAUCAACAUUCCUCCUCCUCCGCCACCUGCUCCAAAGGUCAGCACGAAAUUCUCUGACGUGUUGGCGUUUAGUGGACCUGCACCGGAGAGGAUCAACGGAAGGUUGGCGAUGAUAGGGUUUGUGUCGGCGAUGGCUGUGGAAGUGAGCAGCGGUCAAGACGUGUUUACCCAGAUCGGCAACGGCGGAGUUGCGGUGUUUGUGGGGACUAGCGUCGUGUUGACGUU
rnacentral:lncRNA from 1 species